CCAGGGUAUCUUUACAGACUACAAGCAGCCAUUUGCAGUAACAUAUCUUGGAGCAUCUCUGAUGGUAGUUUACCUCCCAAUAGCAUUUCUUAAAGACUGGAUAUGCAAGAUACUAAAGCAUCGCUCUUCUAAAAGUGGUAAAGAUGCAGGAAGCAUAAAUGAGUCUUCCGAUGGAUUUAACUCUCCUCUAAGCCGGAAAAUUUUUGAAAUUGAACUUCAGGGAACUUUGACCAGAAAAGACAGUGAGGCAGACCUUUCUCCUCAAGCAGAGGGAAAGCCUUUGAUUCCUAGACACAAAGAUGAUUUAAUUGUGUUGAAACAUGAAAAAGAGCUUACACCUAGAGAAAUUGCCAUCUAUGGUUUUUAUAUUGCCCCGAUCUGGUUUAUAACAGAGUAUUUAUCAAAUGCCGCGCUUGCACGUACAAGUGUUGCAAGCACAACAGUUUUGUCAUCAACAUC
rnacentral:misc_RNA from 1 species